AAUAUGUGAUUUUUCGAAAAAUAAAAAUGAUUGCGAUGUUCAACUAAAAUUCUUUAUAUAAUUAUAGUGUUUUUAAGUGUUUUAUUGUAAUGUAAAUCGUAAUUAUAAAAUUAUAUUAAGAGCGACUUUCUACGCUGAUAUGAUUUCUCAUCUGUCAUAAUUAAUGUGUGUAAACCGUGCGAUCCGACGAUGCGGCAGUAUGUCCCUGACUCGUUUCAGAUGAUACACGUCAUGUACAAACGAUGAUCUCAUCGCGUAAUGCGCUACAUCCAUUUGCUUAUUGCUGUACAUUUGUACAACUAGUAAAAUAAUUGUAUGUCCAUUUUAUGAUUAGGAGAUAACAAAAAUGAUGAAAGCAUGUUAUUUUGCAAGAUACCGCAGGAUUAUAUUGAUCAGACCGGCAAUGUGACACUUGGGGUGUGGCUUGUUUUACCUUUUUUGACGGCGAGGUACGCUCUUUCCGGAAAACAGUAUCGGUUCUGCUAGCUGGUAGCCGACUAACGGUUUGCAAGACGUUCUCCGUCGAAGAGAAGCAGCACGGAAGAGAAGAGGAAAGGAAUUCGCUGGUGGGGCAAUACGUUUUAUAUCUGUUUACGAUGAAGACGACGGAGCCACCAACAGCCCGAGAAAGCCGACUGCUUUCGGAAUGAUUUUCUUCGUCGCGUUGUGUACGAAUGCGAAUACUUUGCCAACUGGGUGGAAACUGUUCUGACAGCGGCGAUAUUAAGGACGCGUUGAAGGGGAGAGGAGAGAACGUUCACAUUGGUGGGGUUGACGACGUAGCGCCGAAUAAUGACGUGGAGAACGGAAUAUCCUGUAGUGAGCCAAAGGAGAUGGUGAGUGAAUCGUUGCCCGCCGGAACGACGCCGUACAAGAUCGAUAGAAAUAUAAUGAAAAUAAUUUUUACUACCAAAAUUUAGGCACAUCAAUAUAUGUUUUGCGUACGUAUAAGUUCUAAUAAAAUUCAAAAUUCAAAAUGAAACUCUUACUACAUAUUUCCUUCAUUUCUCAAUGAAUAAUAUUACUCAUUAAGAGCAUAUAUAUAUGAUUCAUAAUCCUUGAUUGAAUGAGAAUAAAUCUGAAUAGAUCUUGUGACGCUCUUGAACACGCAGAAUGCGUGACGGAAUUAGCACAUAUAGUGUCUCGAAAGUCUAGGCAUUUAUUACUUGCAUGAACUGUAGACAAAGAUCGAACUAAAAAUGAAUAAAUAUCAUAUCAAAAUAUCUAAUAUAUAUGCUUAGCUAAUAUAAAUUUUGUUGAGUUUUCAAUAUCGUUAAAUUCGAUGGAGACAUCAUUUCUAUGUGUCUGUAUGUACACCUUAUAUAGAUUGCAUUGUAUGAUGUCACUUGCAUAACAUGCAUUCCUAUUCAAAGUAAAUUUAUUCACUUCACAUUGUAAUAAAGAUUCGAUGACGCACUUAAAGGGAAUUUGAUAAGUCUAAUCCGAUACUAAGGGAAUGUUAAUUUAAAAAAGUACUUGAAAGAGAUUUGUUCAAAAACAUUUUUUUCUGAGGCAUAUGCAUCGAUAAACCGGAUGUAUUAUUGGAAGGGGAUUAUACUGGUAAAAUAAUAUAUUUGAUAAGAUCUUCUAUCGUUGUAUAAUAAAUUUGGGGAUAAUUUUUAAUGCGGAUUAUUAUUAAUGAAUUCUUAUUUAGAAUUGACAUAUAUAGAGCUUGUGGUAGAAGAGAAACUCGAUGUGGAGCCGUCUGAAAAUGUUUUAUUAAGAUUACAUAUGGCAAGCGAGGCUUUCGUUUCCAAUUCCUCAAAUUGAAAAUCCAUCUCCUCAACAUUUUUUUCAAUACAUACAUGUACAUAUAUAUAUAUAUAUAUAUAUAUACUGUCAGUACGAUAAAAAGUGCAUUCUCUAGCACAUCUCUUGCACUUGUCUUAUCUAAUUAUUUACUAAAAAUUUGUCUAGGUUCUUUUUCCUUUAUCACCUUUACCACUUUAAGAAAAUCGUUCAGACUUCUUGUGCGAAUCGUUCUCUUAUACGUCUGUACUAUACAAUUAUAGUACAGUCAAGAAUAUGCGAGCUGAAUGUUAUAAUUAUUCAUAACCAUAAGUAAUAUCCUGAUAAUGUGAAUUUCUUACAUUUCGCAAAAUAUAAUACAUAAUUUUUUUUAACAGUAAAAUGUAUAUUAUAAACACAUUGUAAAAGAAUUUAUAAAACAAGAUCAAUACAUACUACAUACUGAAAAGUUUUGUCAAAUGCAUCGAAAUGAGUCUCGCCGUUGAUUCUAAAUUGUGCGUAGCAAAGGAACUACGUUAUACACAUCUUCAAAUCGUACACAUAUCUUACUUAUUAUCUUUUGACUAUACAAGGUGUUUCCCGAUAUAUACGCGCGGCCUUGAUCCUAACAAUCGACGAAUUUGAAGAUGAUCUCUUAGCAAAGUGUCGAAAAAAACUCAGAAUAUCUAAUUUCUCAAUAUUAAAAAAAUUUUGAUUAUAUAUAUUUUAGUAUUAUAACUUAACUUAUACUUUAUUAUUGCUAUAUUUUUAUAAUCAAGUUCUAAAUUAAAGCUCCAUUAUAUAAAAUUUUUUUAUUGUAAAAGAAAGAUCUUUAUUUGUAGUCGCUUAUAAUUCAGAAAGAUGGCGCUUCGAUAUUUUCAAUAAAGAAUUAAAGUAUGAUUAAAAAGAUUUUUAACAGCUUAUCCAAAAAAUAAUAAAGAAUGAUUAAAAUUUUCGAAUAAACUAUAUGAACUUUAGACCGUCCUUAUUUUCUAAAUGGAUAACAUAUUCUGCAUGUUUUGAAAUUUUCUGAUAUUAAUAAGCUAUGCAAGCUUGAGACAGAGAAAUUAUUAAUUUUCUAAUUUUUUGUUUAAACUUGAACAUCUCGAAAACGAAACUUCGUAUAAAAAAAUUUAUCUAUACACUUUUCGAAUUAUAUUUUUAAAUAGAAUUUUCUUUGGACCAAUUUUUGAAUCAAUAAAAAACUACCUUAUAUAGUCAAAGCCUUGAUAACGAUUCUAUACAGUACAUAUCUGACAUCCCAGAUCCCAAUAUAAAUCAUUGAUGAUAAAGAGAAAUGAUAUACGCAAGAACAAUACAAAUGUAAUCAAAUCAAUUUUGUUAUAUAAUCAGGGUUUUUUUUUUACUAAACAUUACUAAUAUUAAAUGUAUAGAUUUUGUUAAUUAUAUUCAUGUGAUAAUUAUUAUUUGUUAUGAGUGUGCCUAAGUUCAAAAAAUAAAAAAUAAAACAAAAUUUGAGAAAUGCAUAUUAUGCUAAUCGUGGUUUUUGAUAUGUUUUAUAUAUUUGACUAUUAAACAUUUUUGCAAGCGCACACACACAAUUAAUGCAAUGUAUUUGUAACACUGGUAAAAUAUCUCUAACACGCGGAAAUGCUACUUACAAUAAUUUUAAAUAAUGAUAUAUAACGUAAAUAUGUUGAUAAGAGAUGUAGAGAGAGAGAGAGAGAGAGA